rnacentral:lncRNA from 1 species
UUGGAAAUGAUACGCACCUGGAUCAACAGUCAGGUCCUCAAUGUGAUCCUCAGCUUGAUCCAUGGUCAGAUCCUCAACAUGAUGCUCCUCUGACAAGUGUGAUGAACUGGCUUUUGCCUUCCGUCUCGCUGCCUUCUUCUUUUUCCUUUUCUCCUUCUUUUUGCUAGCCCUAAGCUCAGGGGAGGACUGUCUCAGAGGAGAAGAA